rnacentral:rRNA from 1 species
UACGUAGGGGGCAAGCGUUGUCCGGAUUCAUUGGGCGUAAAGAGCGUGUAGGCGGCCAGGUAGGUCGGUUGUGAAAACUGGAGGCUCAACCUUCAGAGGUCGACCGAAACCAUCUGGCUAGAGUCCGGGAGAGGAGAGUGGAAUUCCUGGUGUAGCGGUGAAAUGCGCAGAUAUCAGGAGGAACACCGAUGGCGAAGGCAGAUCUCUGGGCCGUAACUGACGCUGAGACGCGAAAGCGUGGGGAGCAAACAGG